CAUUGCUAGAAGGUCUUUAUGCUCAGGAAACAGGGAGGAUCUCUCCUUCCUGUUUCCUUGAGUGCUAAGACCUUCUAGCAAU